AGAACGUGUCUGACGUCAGCGCCAGCCUGGACGGAGAGCUCGGAUCCCAGAGAAGGCUGAGCACAGGGAGGAGAGGGGCGUGGGCCGCUGCAUUUGAGCUGCUCUCGUCCUGAAGUUUGUGCCCUGGGCCCUGUGAGACCUCAGGGGCCAGCCUGUGACACCCCGGCCAGGCCAUGCGAGGGUGGCGCCGGGACGCCGCCCUCUGCGGCUCCUUUGGGGAGCACUGACCAGCACUCAGGGAUGGAUCCAUGCAGCGAGUUGUCGAGAGGAGAGAGUGGAGGAGGACUCCGCAGUAUCCCGGCUGAUGCAUAUUGAGUCAUCCAGAGGAGAGAGAGGGGGAGGACUCCGCAGUAUCCUGGCCGAUGCAUAAUUUGUUCUUCGUAUGCAUUUUACCACCAUUUUGGCUAGCAUUUGGUGCUUCAAGGAACAGCUGUUAGAAGCGAAAACCAGAGAAAAAGGCAUUUGCGUUUCAAAGGCUUCGCUUUGUGGAUGACACAUCCCAGAGAUAGGAGGAACUCCUGGCAGCAGCCAUAGAUUUGGAAGGAUGCAUCCCCAUCAGGUAGCGGCGGAGGAAUCUCCAGGGAGGAGACGGAGAAGGGAGAGGACAGGAGGGAGAGGAGUAAGGGGUUUGGAUGCCUGUGGGUCCUCAGAGAGUGGCCUGAGAGCCAGACUUUCUCCCUCUCCCCUGAGAGCAACAUGGAGCUGGGGAAAGAGACCUCAGACACGCCACUCCCCUGCCUUCCUGAUGGCGACAGACACAGAGAGUCCUCAGGGCUGGGAGCCGGGAAGGUGGAGGAGCUGCCCAUGAGGCUGGUGCUUUGGCAGGGAAAGGGGCCCCCCAGGAGCUGCCACCUGCCCCAAAGGUGCACCUGGGAUGAAGAUGGUGGGGAGGCACCACAGCGACCUAGUUAUGGCGAGCAAGCUCUCACCAUACAGUAGAGGAGGAGACAGAAAUUAGUUCAGUUACAGAAAACAGAUACAUUGGUAGAAUUUACAUGUUAUAACAUAAUUCCAUUAAAAAGUUGGCAUACUCCUGAAAACCUACUUACUCUUCCCUUAAGAAUCAAGUAAUAUUAUGUUUAUUGGAAAUUAUUUGGAGAAAUCAAAAGAUUGGAAUUACAGUCUUACCUUCAUACUAAUCAUGAGAACGUCAAAGUUUUUUGUUUGUAUAAUUGAGAUUAAUUCACAUAUGGGAACCCGCUUUUAAAAGAUCAGAUUCCCCAUCUCUUUAUUGGACAUAAGAAUGAUCCUAUUUGUUUGUACUGUUAAUUUUUUGUUUGUAUAUUGGUUUCCCUAUAAAAUUAUAACAGGCCAAGUUUCUUGGGACAGAGACUGUCUUGAAAUUUUUAUUUCUCUGAAGAUCCUAGCGCAGUGGCUGGAUAGUCCCCUUCCAGUGGGCAGAAUCCUAAGGUGGCCCCAAAGUCUCCCCGUGUGCACCUGCUGUGCGUGGGCCUCUGUCCUUGAGUGUGGGUGGUCCUGUGAACACAGUACAGUCAUUGCCCCCAUGAUGGGGUGACAUCCUAUGAGACCCCAGCCCAGCUGCCAAGCAGUGAGGCCACCGGCUGUGUGGCCAGGACCUGGGGACCUCAUCCGCGGAGGACGACUCUGCCCAAUGUCCAGCAGGACAGUCGGGCCUGACAGCUGCAAGCUCAGGAGCUGAGUUCUGCCAGGAACCCGCAUGAACUAGCAGAUGCAGGAGGAGGUGCAUCCUGGUGAGGAUCUCACUUUAGCAAUCCCCACCCCUGCUGGUGCCCCAGACCCUCCCCAUCCUGCAGGGCUCUGGAUGGGUCAACCUGCCUGGCCUCCAGGACUAGAGAUCACGGCCUGGACACAGCGCAGCAACAUUUCCUCUCUUUUCCCUGAGGUGGUGACCUGGCCGGAUGACUGAAGGGCUGAUAGUGAGGGGCUGCCAGCCCAGAAUGGGGGCAUGGGGCUUCGUAGGAGCUGGGGCACGGCAGGGUUCAGCCCUGGAUGGAAAUGCUCUCUGUCUCCCUCCCUUGUGCUGCAUUUACUCCUGGGCUGGGGCCACCCUCCCUUCCACCUCCUGCAGAUCACAGAGGGACCCAGAGCUCAGGAGAACUUUCUUCCUGUGUUAUAAAACAAGGCAUGCCAUUGAAACAUGCCUGGGUCAAACAGAAAGCUCCCAUCGGGCCUGGAGGAGCCCCUGGCAAUGUGGUCCUCAUUCCCGCCACCCUCUGCCUAGAAGGGGAUCUCAGAGAGUUGAGGGGACCUCUCUGGUUGGGAAAAGGGGAGCAUCCAGGGAGCGCCAGGAGAGUCCUGGAGGAACAUUCUGAGGUGACACGGCCCCAGGGCUCUGUCUACAGCAGGGAUCAGCAUUGCUGACACACAAAAUAUUUAUUCCCUGAUGAUGUGGAAUUUGGAAUCAUCAUCAGAGACUUCAGUGCAGAGCAACUGGAACCUCCUGAGUGUGCCCUGUCUAUAUAUCUGGUCUCUGGACAGGGUGGCCAGUCCUUGUCCAUGACAGGGAGAGCGAGGAACCCUCCCCUCCACACAAUUGGCAGACGAGGAACCACCCUCCUGGGGAUCCAGAGGCAGGGCGCCCCCCUAGAGAGGACAGCUGGGGAGGGUCCCCUCACUGUACUUCCCCCACACCUCCAGACACCAGCUAGUGAUCUGUCCUGAGAUCAAAACCAGAAUCCUAGUAGAUGAGCUGCGUGCUCGCUGUGGACGCCCUGCGCCCUGAGAGUCUUGUCCUGGAUCGCACGGGUGUGUCCACAAACGAGGCCCAGCAGCCCUGGAGAAGCCCCAGCGUCUCUCCCUACUGGCAAUGCAUCCGGGAGUGUGGCUUGCCCUCCGAGUCAGUUCCCUCAUCUCUAAAACAGGACCACACAGAUCUCAGGGCGCGUUGGUUGAAUGUUUACCUGUGUUCUGUAAAAACUAUGGCUACUCAGCACCACAGAGAGGCAAGAGAGCAUGAAGGCGUCCUGUUUGGGAUCAUGGGAGACCAUAUUCCCAGCUUCCUGGUACUAGGUGACACUGGGGGGCCUGUUUUACUUAUGGAAUUCCCAGCUUCCCUAAUGGUAGGUGACAUCUUGGGGCAGGAUUUACUUAUGGAAUUCCCAGCUUCCCUAAUGGUAGGUGACAUCUUGGGGCAGGAUUUACUUAUGGAAUUCCCAGCUUCCCAGUGUUAGGUGACACUGUGGGGUGGUUUUUACAGAUGGAAUGAGAAAGAGGUAAGGUGUGCUCCUCCAGAUCCAGACCCUAAACACCUCCCUCUUGGGAUCCUCCACGUUCUCUUCCUCUCUCUGUUAUGGAAUAAAAACAACCCUAUGAAAGUGUGUCGAAGGUGCCAGAGCCCUUCUCCCUGUUGCCUGUCCAGCACUGUGAUGUGUGUAGACCUCAGCUCUGCUCAAAUAGUUUGAAGUGUGUUUGUCAUGGCCGUCAGCCUAUUCUCGCUAAUCUUCCAUUAAAUGAGAUGAUUGAUUUAAAAAAUA
rnacentral:antisense_RNA from 1 species